AGGACCUCGCGUUUCGUCGAAAACCUCUGCAAGUGUCAGGGGGGGGAAAAAUGAUUGAGAGUUUAGGUGUGGCUGGGGUUUUUUAGAAGCUCUUCUCCUCAACAGUUAUAACACAGUCGUGCGCACUCAGUCUUCGCUUUUACGCUUUCUGCCUUUUCGGGUAUGCUCAGUCAUUUCUGUAGGGCAGACAUUACAUAACAAAUGCUACAAUAUUACCAUUUUGGUCUCAGCGAGAUCGAUUUCAACCCGUUACCAGUUUUAACUCAACUAUUUCCAAAGAAGUGCGUCUCCUGUUCCGUGUGCAUGGCAUUUCAUCGUCAGAAUCAAAAGGACGUGGCAACUUUACAGUAGGCAGUAGCCGUGCUGAAUGCUACAGGCGAACAGGGCGUGGGGAACAGCCCGAUCACAGACCAGGAAUCCUCUAUCUGCGCACAUUUGAAGCUUGAGACACUUCAGCAGAUGUGUCCGUGGAUGCGCUGGAUUACCAAGACUAAAGUGCACUCGAAAGGCGUAUUGGUGACGAUCUGUCCUGCCCGUGGACCAUCUUGGCAUUACGCACAAGGAUCUAUAGCGAGGCAGAGGACGUACACGACACUUCACAUGGAGAGUCGCGGCGCACCCAAAACUUGAUUUCAUCCACUGGCCGACCCACAGCAGUUCUUCACUGGCAAGCUUUAUGUCUUCAUGCUGCAACUAAAGCUGCCAGCUGAA
rnacentral:lncRNA from 1 species